rnacentral:tRNA from 1 species
GUUAUUUUGGCAGAUAAGUGCAAUAGAUUUAGAAUCUUUAGAUGUAAAAUGUUUGUUUUACAGAUAAUA